rnacentral:tRNA from 1 species
GCUGUGGUAGCUCAGUGGUAGAGCACUCCCUUGGUAAGGGAGAGGUCGCGAGUUCAAUCCUCGCUCACAGCACCA